GGCCUAACACAUGCAAGUCGAACGGUAACAGGAAGCAGCUUGCUGCUUCGCUGACGAGUGGCGGACGGGUGAGUAAUGUCUGGGAAACUGCCUGAUGGAGGGGGAUAACUACUGGAAACGGUAGCUAAUACCGCAUAACGUCGCAAGACCAAAGAGGGGGACCUUCGGGCCUCUUGCCAUCGGAUGUGCCCAGAUGGGAUUAGCUAGUAGGUGGGGUAACGGCUCACCUAGGCGACGAUCCCUAGCUGGUCUGAGAGGAUGACCAGCCACACUGGAACUGAGACACGGUCCAGACUCCUACGGGAGGCAGCAGUGGGGAAUAUUGCACAAUGGGCGCAAGCCUGAUGCAGCCAUGCCGCGUGUAUGAAGAAGGCCUUCGGGUUGUAAAGUACUUUCAGCGGGGAGGAAGGCGAUAAGGUUAAUAACCUUGUCGAUUGACGUUACCCGCAGAAGAAGCACCGGCUAACUCCGUGCCACCAGCCGCGGUA
rnacentral:rRNA from 1 species